CAAACAUCUGUAAUCUGAUUUUAGAGCAAUCUGCAUGAUAUGAGUUGGUCAAGGAGAAAUAAUUUCCUAUCACAGUGGGAUAACAUGCAAAUGAAAUUUCGACUCCAGGCUCCCUCACCUCACAGAAUGUCAGAGAACUCUAGAGUUCUGCAGUUCUCAAUGAUAGUUGACUUGGUCUUGGCUGGAUGUUCUUGCUGAUCUUCUGCGGGAGGGGCCUGUUGCAGUGACAGUCAAAUGUCUGUGCCUGAGGUGGAAUUGCACUGACCUUGCCAGGGGCCAGGGUAAGUAAUCUGUGUGGUUUUGGUCUCAGGAGUUUUUCUCCCCCAAAUGCUUCCUAUAUAGCUUUGGAGGACAGGAAUGAAGAUGGCAGCCUCCCAGUCUGUGGCCUGGAUGAUCCGAGAGCUUGGGGUUCCACUCCUCAGUGCACCCUCAGAGAAAUGUGGUUAAUCCCUCCCAUCUCCUUGGUCUCCAGCUGCACCGCACUCCAUGCUCACCUGG
rnacentral:lncRNA from 1 species